GACGAGGGAUCCUAGCGUUGCUCGGAAUCAUUGGGUCGUAAAGCGGGUGUAGGUGGCUUGGUAAGUCAGACGUGAAAGCCCUGGGCUUAACCCAGGAAGUGCAUUUGAUACUGCUGAGCUUGAGUGCGAGAGAGGUUAAUAGAAUACCUGGUGUAGUGGUGAAAUACGUAGAUAUCAGGUGGAACACCGGAGGCGAAGGCGGUUAACUGGCUCGACACUGACACUGAGACCCGAAAGUGCGGGGAUCAAACAGG
rnacentral:rRNA from 1 species